rnacentral:lncRNA from 1 species
CUGCUCCAUCACAGGGUUCACCUACAACCCUCAGAGGCAGGCAAAGAGUGAACAUGGAACCGGGGGAGGAGGAGUAACCAUCUGCUCUUACAAAAGACCACACAAGGACUGGCCCACACACCAGCCAGAGCACAUGAGCCAAUUUUUGCAGCAAAGCAAAAUGCAAAAGUCUGGAGUAGGAGUAGAGGAGAAACAUGGCUUUCUUUACAGAGAAGUGUCUGCCAGAAGAUUUCUUAGAGACUGCAAAUGUACACUGAUGCUUGAAGCAAGAACAUUCAAGGAUUUCCCUAUUAACUCAACUUUGAAGGAGCAGGCAUUUAGCCUAGCAGUCCAUACACCUGCCUCCCACAACAGAGUGUCUGGAUUUGAUGCCUGGCUCUGGCUUCUGACUCUAACUCCAGCUUUCCAGCACUGCAAAAUCCGGGAGGCAGUGGUGAUGGCCCCACUAAUUGGGUUCCUGCCACCUGUGCAGGAGAUCUGGGUUGAUUUCCCCUACUGCUUGCUCUGA